GGUGAACGCUGGCGGCGUGCUUAAGACAUGCAGGUCGAACGGCAGUCUUCGGACUGUAGUGGCGCACGGGUGAGUAACGCGUAACUGACCUACCCCAAAGUCGCGGAUAACGAUUCGAAAGAAUCGCUAAUACGUGAUGUGCUGUCAGAUUGUGUUCUGCCAGUAAAGAUUGAUUGCUUUGGGAUGGGGUUGCGUUCCAUCAGCUAGUUGAUGGGGUAAAGGCCCACCAAGGCGACGACGGAUAGCCGGCCUGAGAGGGUGGCCGGCCACAGGGGCACUGAGACACGGGUCCCACUCCUACGGGAGGCAGCAGUUAGGAAUCUUCCACAAUGGGCGGAAGCCUGAUGGAGCGACGCCGCGUGAGGGAUGAAGGUCUUCGGAUCGUAAACCUCUGAAUCAGGGACGAAAGACACUUCGGUGGGAUGACGGUACCUGAGUAAUAGCACCGGCUAACUCCGUGCCAGCAGCCGCGGUAAGAC
rnacentral:rRNA from 1 species